GACAGGGGUUGCGGUGAAGGAAACCUAGAAGCAUUACACCCGUAACACCCAACACCACCUUCGCCAUCAACAGUUACUGGUACCAACACCACCACCAUCACCACCACCAAUAACAACCAACAACAACAACAAUUGCAUUAACAUGUUCAAGAACCAGAUUAAAAAAAAAAUAAAAUAACUUCGUAAACAACAUGAAAACGACCGACCAAACGCUACGACCAAUAACAGCAACAACGACAUCUUCACUGCAGCAGGAACAACAAAUAUAACAAUAUGCAAAUAGCAGCUAUCUCAACAACAACAACAACAACAACAACAAUAACAAAUAUAUAACAGCAUAAAAAUAGUAACUAUUUCAAUAACAACAUCAACAACAACAAUAAACCCAACAGAAAAAUCAAGAAUGCCAGCGUUAAAAACAACAACAACAACAACAACAACAACAUCAGUGACAAUAACAACGAUGAUGUAAAUGUAUAAAAACGAAAGCAAGAAGUGAGUGACUUCCAAGAUGGCGGUGUUUGGGUGAGUGAAACGAUUUUCUUUAAUUUACUAUUUACAACAUUUAAUUUCAACAUCUAAUUUUAAAAUUCAAUUGCUUUAUUAUUUCCGUCCUUCCUUCCUUACUCUCUCUCUCUCUCUCCCUUCCACUCUCUGUCUCUCUUUCUUCCUAUCUACUUCUAUCUCUCACUCUCUCUCUCUCACCCUGCUGUCUUUUCGCUCCUCUUUCUUUUACUCUCUUCCCGCCUCUCCCUCUCACACACACACACUCCCUCUCUCUCUCUCUUUCUCCCUAUCGACUCCUAUCUCUCUCUUUCCUGGUGUUUCUUAGCUCCUCUUUAUUUUACUCUCUUUCCCGCUUCUCUCACUCUCUCCUUUUCCUUCCCUCUCUCUCUCUCUCUCUCGCUUUUUCUAACACUCAUUUAACUCAAUCUUCUUCUUUGGCGUCGUCUUCAUUUCUUCUCAUUAUUCUUCAUUUUUGUCUUCUGUUCCUUCUCCUUUCUCUUCUUUUUCUUUUUCUUCUUCUUCUUCAGUGUCGCCUCAUUCUUCAUUUCCUUUUUUACCCUAUUUUUCAUCUUCUUCUUCCCUUCAACUUCUUUAAUUUCUCCAUAUUUAUCUCCCCUACCCGUCUCCAUUUCCCCGUUCACUGUUCACCAUUACAAGCUAUUCCUGAAGAAAAAAACACAUUUAAAAAAUCGUCAAAUUUAGCCCUAACACCCUGUAUGUAUGUAUAUGUGUAUGUAUGUAUGUAUGCAUGCAUACAUGCAUGCAUGUAUGUAUGUAUGUAUGUAUGUAUGUAUGUAUGUAUGUGUGUAUGUACGUAUAGUGAUUGUUCAGUUUUAUUUCAAGAUUUCUUACUAAUAGAAAAAGAACCGGUUUCUAACCUAGAUUCAAGGCUCCUUCAUUGGAAUUUCAAAAUCAAAAACAGAGUAUGUAUGUAUGUAUGUGUAUAUAUAUAUAUAUAUAUAUAUAUAUAUAUAUAUAUAUAUAUAUAUAUAUAUAUAUGUAUAUAUAUGUAUGUAUAUAUAUAUGUAUGUAUAUAUAUUAACGAUUGAGGAUAAAAUCUUUAAAAGAAAUUAUCAGUAGUCAGCGUGAACAACCUCGUAAGAGAAAAAAUCCGUAAAUUCUUCCUCUUUGAAAAUAUUCAUUUAUAUUAUAUUGAGGGUACUACUAUUCGUAGAUACCAACACGCUAAGAGGGACCAAUGCGGUCAAAACUACUAAAAAUAAACAAAAUUUUACCGAAUGCAAAACUUCAAAACACAUCAUUUUAAAAAAGAAUUCAGUUACAUAUCACAUGUGAUUUCGCAUUUAAUGCAGAAUAUGCAUUUCAUGUUCAUCAGUGCAACAAACUCAAGAAAUAUAAGAAAAAACAUAACAUUACAAACUCGAUAGCCAACCGUAGAAUUCGUCGUAGCUUGUACGAAUGUUUAUCCUUACAUAUCUAUGAAAAUGGCGGGCUUUUUCGCAAUGCAUUUCGGUAACAAAUUGCCUAGUCGGAAUAAAAAUUCAGUAUUGAACUAUUCCGGUGAAAAAUAUAAAUUAACGAUUGAGGAUAAAAUCUUUAAAAGAAAUUAUAUAUAUAUAUAUGUAUGUAUGUAUAUAUAUAAAAGAGACUGGUAAAAUAAGCACCGGGCUUGCAAAGAAAAAGUCCUGGUGUCGAUUCGUUUGACUCAAGGCGCUGCUCCAGCAUAGCCGCAGUCAAAUGACUGAAUCAAAUAAAAGAAUUAAAGAAUAAGAAAAAUAGAAGUUGAAAAUGCACUGAGAAAAGUUAGAAUAUUUUUUAUUUAAAGAUUUAACACCGGUUUACACUAAUUUUCAAAAAUUUGAAGUAGAAAGACUUGGCUUACGUCGCAGCUGCUUUUGCUUCCGGAGUUCAUGGCUCAAAUCAGUGUAUGUUUUGAUUCGUAAAGGACAGUCACAUGACUGGUCUUAGAAGUUUUUAUUGGUUCCCCGCUACGUCCAUGUGUUAGUAUCAAGUAACAAUGUUUAGCAUCGUAAGUUAAGACUGACACGGUUGACUGAACAAGUCUAGUGGUAGUACUAAACGACCAAUGCUCUCAAUGUUUUCUGUCAAGUGUUUGUGGAGAAGGAACACGUGAUUAAGUUUAGAACCUUCUGCAUGUUUCCCGCUACGUCCGUACGUUAGUGUCACGUGACAGUAUAUUUUACGCCUAAAAUGAAGACCGAGCUGGCAGAAACGUUAGCGCGCCGGACGAAAUGCGUAGCCGUAUUUCGUCUGUCGUUACGUUCUGAGUUCAAAUUCCGCCGAGGUCGACUUUGCCUUUCAUCCUUUCGGGGUCGAUAAAUUAAGUACCAGUUACGUACUGGGGUCGUGUAAUCGAUUUAAUCCGUUUGUCUGUCCUUGUUUGUCCCCUCUGUGUUUAGCCCCUUGUGGGUAGUAAAGAAAUAGGUUGAGUGAACAUGUUUCGUUACAAUCAAUCACAUGAAUGUAUAUAAUUGAGUGUGUAUUAAAUAAAUUUCGCAACAUAGAUUUAGAACUCCUUUCGUUUCAUUACAUUCCACACGGUCCAGGGUUCGAUUCCACAGCAUGGCAUCGUGGACAAAUGUCAUUUUCUAUGACUUCGGAUUGAGCCAUACUUUGUAAGUGAAACUACAUGGACGAAAACUGUGCUGAAGCCCAUUAGAGGGAUUGUACAUUUUAUUCGAAGAUAUAGCCUUGUCACACGCAUUUUCCCGCUGAUUCUACCCGAGGAUGAGCUUAAGUCUCCAUGAAAUACUCAGCCCCUUAAAUAUUAAUUCAGGGGUUGGUAAUUCUGUUAAUCAAACAACUGAAUCGUCUUCAUCAAAGAAGAGAGAGAUCCACCUCACUCCAACCAUUUUUAUUUAGUGCUUCUACAGUAAUCCCUCGACUAUCGCCAGUGUUGCGUUCGAAAAAAAUAUCCGCGAAAUAGAAACAGUACUGUACUCUCUCUCUUUUUACUCUUUUACUUGUUUCAGUGAUUUGACUGCGGCCAUGCUGGGACUUAUUCUUUUGUAAGCCCAGUACUUAUUCUAUCGGUCUCUUUUGCAGAACCGCUAAGUUACGGGGACAUAAACACACCAGCAUCGGUUGUCAAGCAAUGCUAGGGGGACAAACACAGACACACAAACACACACACGCAUAUAUAUAUAUACAUAUAUACGACGGGCUUCUUUCAGUUUCCGUCUACCAAAUCCACUCACAAGGCUUUGGUCGGCCCGAGGCUAUAGUAGAAGACACUUGGUGCCAGGCAGUGGGAUUGAACCCGGAACCAUGUGGUUGGUAAACAAGCUACUUACCACACAGCCACUCCUGCGCCUAUACAUUUCAUUGUGCUGUACUGUACAUUUCAUUAUUAUUAUUUUUGUGUGGUAAGUAGCUUGCUAACCAACCACAUGGUUCCGGGUUCAGUCCCACUGCGUGGCAUCUUGGGCAAGUGUCUUCUGCUGUAGCUCCGGGCCGACCAAUGCCUUGUGAGUGGAUUUGGUAGAUAGAAACUGAAAGAAGCCUGUCGUAUAUAUGUAUAUAUAUAUAUAUAAGUGUGUGUGUUUCUGUGUUUGUCCCCCUAGCAUUGCUUGACAACCGAUGCUGGUGUGUUUACGUCCCCGUCACUUAGCGGUUCGGCAAAAGAGACCGAUAGAAUAAGUACUGGGCUUACAAAGAAUAAGUCCCGGGGUCGAUUUGCUUGACUAAAGGCGGUGCUCCAGCAUGGCCGCAGUCAAAUGACUGAAACAAGUAAAAGAGUAUAUAAUAAUUUUAUUAUCAAUGCAAACCAAGACCACCGAAGAAUCGACGUAAGCUUCAAUAAUAAACCGCGAGAGGUCUCUGUGAGCAUUGGCUAACAGCAGUGUUUUAGUUUGGUUCCCGCGCUGAUUGUGAAAAAGAAUCCUAGCAACUUAGGCGCAUGCGUGGCUGUGUGGUAAGAAGUUUACUUCCCGACCACAUGGUUCCGGGUUCAUUCCUCCCGCAUAGGCAUGGCACCUUGGGCAAGAGUCUUCUAUAGUCUUGGGGCGACUAAAGCUUUGUAAGUAGAUUUGGUAGACGGAAACUGAAAGAAUCCCGUACUAUAUAUAUGCAUAUAUCUAUAUGUUUAUAUAUGUGUGUGUCUUUGCGUCAGUGUUUGCCACACCACCACCGCUUGACAACCGGUGUGUGUUUGCUUACAUUUCUCUAACCUAGCGGUUCGGCAAAAGAGCCCGACCUAGUAAAAAAAAUAACUACUGGGGCCUAUUCGUUCGACUAAAAUCUCUCCAAGGUGGUGCCCCAGCAUGGCCGCAGUCUAAUGACUGAAAAAGAUAAAAGAACAUAACAGUAAUGUGUGUAGCCCCUAAAAGUGUCAUUUUCUAUACGUGGUACACAUGUAUACAUUAUUUACAUUUGACGGAUAUUUGUCCUCAUCUUGUUUGUUGUUAACACAACGUUUCGACUGAUAUACCCUCAAGCCUUCAUCAGGUGUCUUGGGGGAAAUUUCGAACCUGGAUUCUCAUACCUAAGGUAUUUUUCGCUGUUAUUAUUAUUAUUAUUAUUAAGGUCACUGCCUGGAAUCGAACUCGGAAUCUUGAGGUUAGUAGCCCAUGCUCUUAACCACUACGCAAUAUGCCCAUGAGCAAUUAUGGAGUGAAUUUUAGAGCUCAUAAAUCCAGGCAGUGACCUGAAUAAUAAUAAUAAUAAUAAUAACACCCUAAUACCUUAGGAAUGAGAACCCAGAAUCGAAAUUUCCCCAAGACACCUGAAGAAGGCUGGCGGGUAUAUCAGCUGAAACGUUGUGUUAGCAACAAACAAGAUGAGGACUAAUAUCCGUCAAAUGUAAACAAUAUACAUAAUUCCUCAUCUCUUAAAUAUAGAACUGUUUAUUACACAUGUAUAUGAUUUUGAGGUUUUGGUUUUGAUAAAAAUCAAAAAUCUUUGAUUUUUAAUCAACACCCAGACAUUUGUUAAAAUAGGGAUUGUUUCUGUUUUCAGUCGCCAUGUUCUGUUUCCCUGUGUUUCCACGUGUUUACAUUUCGAUAGUAGUUCCUUGUUUUCCAUUCAUUUUAGAAAUAUACUAGCAGUAUCGCCCGGCGUUGCUCGGGUUUGUUUCGACCCUUUAGAAUUGGAAUUUUUGACAAGUAAAAAUUUUGCAUUACGUAGCUUGUUAUUUUCUUUAAGUGAACGUUUUUCUGGUUGAAAUACACCGAAAAAUAGCGACACAGCAAUCAAACAAUCGUAAAAACAUCUUGUUGGUGUUAAUAUGGUCCGAUUUGAAUUUUAUCUUCUACGGAAUGAAGAGCAAGCCUUCUUCUAUCAUACUCUCAAUUUUGGUCAACUUGGUGGUGGUGGUGGUGGUGGUGGUGGUUGUGGUGGUGGUGGUGGUGGUGGUGAUUGUGGUGGUGGUGGUUGUGGUGGUGGAUGUCACAGCAACGUAAAAAUGUGGCCCAAGUCAUUUUGUGUUCGAAUGUCCAGUUGUGAAAUGAAAGUAAUGAAGACAAAUCAUUGUGGAAGAGGAGGAAGAGGAGAGGGGGAAGGGAGAGUAAGAGGAAGGGGAGGGGGAAGAGGAGGUUAAGUAUGAUGUGGUAUUGAUAAUGAUGGUGGUCGUGGUGGUGACAACGAAGAUGACGUCGAUGAUGAUGUUGAAGAAGUCAACGAAGAAGAAGAAGACAAAGAAAACAAAGAAGGUGGUAGUGGUAAAAUUUCUGACAAAAGAGCUUCGUCUCUCAAGUGGAAUAUUAUAAAUGGAAGAAUUAAGGGAAAUAUUUUGGUUUUGGUCGUCUGAAGUAGGUUGUCUGUUGAAGAGCAACAGAUUCAGAAGAGAGAAACUGGAUAACGACUUGAAAGGGAGGAAAGCGAAAGUAGAAUAAAAGAAAGAAUUAACAAUUGCAGGAUGGGAGAUGGAGAGAGGAGCGGAGGAUGGAAUGACAGAAGAAGAACAUCAUAAGAAAGAACAACAAAAAAGAACACAUUGAGAGCAAGGAAGAAUAAUUCUUUAUCCUUUGUAGAAUCGGUGAAAAAAAAAAAAUGAGAUAAAAACGAAAAACUAAACGAGAAAAAAUGUAAUAAAGUCAUAUAUUUUAUAAAAAAAAAAAAAAGCACGAUGAGACGGAAAGAAUUCUUAGAGAUGGCAAUGUGGCAGACAGGCUUGUGAAAGGAGAUCCAUGCUAUCGAAUAAAGGAAACGGUAAUUCGGAAAGUACCAAUAUUUCUGAGAACAAAACAGCCUAAAGAAUUUCCAUUUGGGAUACAAACGAACUGAGAGAGAAAGAGACAGAGGGAGAGAGAGAGAGAGAGAGAGAGAGAGAGAGAGAGACAACAUUGACUGGGAAGGGAAGUAAAAUUGUUUGGUUGAAGUGGCGGGCGGUGGUGGUGGUGGUGGUGGUGGUGGUGCGUGAGAUAUAAAAGUGUGGGUAUAUAUAUGCGUAUGUCUCUGUGUGUGUAUGCGCAUAUAUAUAUAUACAUAUAUAUAUGUGUGUAUGUAUACAUAAGUACAUGCAUACAUAUGCAUACAUACAUGCAUACAUACAUAUAGAUAUAUAUAUAUAUGCGUAUACAUAUAGAAUAUAUAUAUAUAUAUAUAUAUAUAUAUAUAUGUAUGUAUGUAUAUAUGUGCGUGUUUAUAUGUAUAUGUAUAUAUAUAUAUAUAUACAUACAUACAUAUAUAUAUAUAUAUAUAUAUGUGCGUGUUUAUAUAUAUAUAUGUAUGUAUGUGAGUGUUUAUAUAUAUAUAUAUGUAUGUAUGUGCGUGUUUAUAUAUAUAUAUGUAUGUAUGUGCGUGUUUAUAUAUAUAUAUGUAUGUAUGUGCGUGUUUAUAUAUAUAUAUAUAUAUGUAUGUAUGUGCGUGUUUAUAUAUAUAUAUAUAUGUAUGUAUGUGCGUGUUUAUAUAUAUAUAUAUAUGUAUGUAUGUGCGUGUUUAUAUAUAUAUAUAUAUAUGUAUGUAUGUGCGUGUUUAUAUAUAUAUAUAUAUAUAUAUAUAUAUAUAUAUAUAUGUAUGUAUGUGCGUGUUUAUAUAUAUAUAUAUGUAUGUAUGUGCGUGUUUAUAUGUAUA
rnacentral:lncRNA from 1 species